CCUACGGGAGGCAGCAGUGAGGAAUAUUGGUCAAUGGACGCAAGUCUGAACCAGCCAUGCCGCGUGCAGGAAGACGGCUCUAUGAGUUGUAAACUGCUUUUGUACGUGGGUAAACGCAGAUACGUGUAUCUGUCUGAAAGUAUCGGACGAAUAAGGAUCGGCUAACUCCGUGCCAGCAGCCGCGGUAAUACGGAGGAUUCAAGCGUUAUCCGGAUUUAUUGGGUUUAAAGGGUGCGUAGGCGGUCGGAUAAGUUAGCGGUGAAAUCCCGGGGCUCAACUUCGGAAUUGCCUUUGAUACUGGGUGUCUAGAGAGUAGGUGAGGUACGCGGAAUGUGUGGUGUAGCGGUGAAAUGCAUAGAGAUCAUACAGAACACCGAUUGCGAAGGCAGCUUACC
rnacentral:rRNA from 1 species